rnacentral:rRNA from 1 species
UGGGGAAUUUUGGACAAUGGGGGAAACCCUGAUCCAGCCAUCCCGCGUGUGCGAUGAAGGCCUUCGGGUUGUAAAGCACUUUUGGCAGGAAAGAAACGUCAUGGGUUAAUACCCCGUGAAACUGACGGUACCUGCAGAAUAAGCACCGGCUAACUACGUGCCAGCAGCCGCGGUAAUACGUAGGGUGCAAGCGUUAAUCGGAAUUACUGGGCGUAAAGCGUGCGCAGUCGGUUCGGAAAGAAAGAUGUGAAAUCCCAGAGCUGAACUGUGGAAGUGCAUUUUUAACUACCGGGCUAGAGUGUGUCAGAGGGAGGUGGAAUUCCGCGUGUAGCAGUGAAAUGCGUAGAUAUGCGGAGGAACACCGAUGGCGAAGGCAGACUCCUGGGAUAACACUGACGCUCAUGAACGAAAGCGUGGGGAGCAAACAGG